rnacentral:rRNA from 1 species
GAUUAACGCUGGCGGCAUGCCUAAGACAUGCAAGUCGAACGGAGCGCCCCACUGACUCUGGAUGAAGUUGAAGAGCUUGCUCGGAAAUGGAUGAAGGAUGAUGUGGAUUCUGCGCUCAGUGGCGAACGGGUGAGUAACACGUGGGUAAUCUGGCCUGUAAGUUGGGGAUAACAGUUAGAAAUGACUGCUAAUACCGAAUGUGCUAGAAAUAGUAAAAGGCGCUUCAAAGCGUCGCUUAUAGAUGAGCCUGCGGUGUAUUAGGCUAGUUGGUGGGGUAAUGGCCUACCAAGGCAACGAUGCAUAGCCGGACUGAGAGGUUGAACGGCCACACUGGGACUGAGACACGGCCAGACUCCUACGGGAGACAGCAGUUAGGAAUAUUCGGCAAUGGGGGAAACCCUGACCGAGCAAUGCCGACGUGUGGGAUGAC